CAAGUACUCCCUCCAUCCGUAAUUACUUGUCAUCAAAAUGGAUGUGUCUAGAACUAAAAUACAUCUAGAUACAUCCAUUUCAAUGACAAGUAUUUUCGGACGGAGGGAGUACAAG
rnacentral:pre_miRNA from 1 species